GAACGGAUAGCAAUAUUAGUGGCGGACGGGUGAGUAACGCGUAAGAAUCUAGCUUCAGGUCGGGACAACAGUUGGAAACGACUGCUAAUACCGGAUGUGCCUAGGGUGAAAGGCUUGCGCCUGAAGAAGAGCUUGCGUCCGAUUAGCUAGUUGGUGGGUAAGCUACCAAGGCGUCGAUCGGUAGCUGGUCUGAGAGGAUGACCAGCCACACUGGGACUGAGACAAGGCCCAGACUCCUACGGGAGGCAGCAGUGGGGAAUUUUCCGCAAUGGGCGAAAGCCUGACGGAGCAAACCGCGUGAGGGAAGAAGGCUCUUGGGUUGUAAACCUCUUUUCUCAGGGAAUUGAAGGUACCUGAGGAAUAAGCAUCGGCUAACUCCGUGCCAGCAGCCGCGGUAAUACGGAGGAUGCAAGCGUUAUCCGGAAUGAUUGGGCGUAAAGCGUCCGCAGGUGGUAAACAAGUCUAGUGUCAAAGCGGGCUCAACCCGGAAAGGCGGUAGAAACUGAACUAGAGGUCGUAGGGGUAGAGGGAAUUCCCAGUGUAGCGGUGAAAUGCGUAGAGAUUGGGAAGAACAUCGGUGGCGAAGGCGCUCUACUGGACGGAACUGACACUCAGGGACGAAAGCUAGGGGAGCGAAUGGGAUUAGAUACCCCAGUAGUCCUAGCCGUAAACGAUGGAUACUAGGUGUGGCUGUAACAAAACGGCCGUGCCG
rnacentral:rRNA from 1 species